rnacentral:lncRNA from 1 species
UAGGCGUCUCGAAUUUGGGCUCGAGCCCAUCGGAGCUGUGGGCGUUGAAAUUGGAUCACCUCGUGGUCCACGACUCCUCCUGCAAUCCUGCGUGACCCAGCGGCGCGCCGGUAUCUGAACCAUGAGAUCUCUUCGCAGAAAAGUAAAUGGAGCAUCUCAAAUUAGAAUGUAGCAGAUUUACAAAAGAAAUUUUUUUCAACAAAAAUGAUUCAGGCUCCCUCACCUAUUACUAUUGUUAGGUGCUCUCUCAUCCGAGAUAACGAAGCUGCACAAAAGAAAACGAAUCAAAUCGAAGCUAGAGCAUCUAAACUCCUGCAGCCUCACCUCCGCGGCUGCUG